CCUACGGGAGGCAGCAGUGGGGGAUAUUGCACAAUGGGGGGAACCCUGAUGCAGCGACGCCGCGUGGGUGAAGGAGCGCUUCGGCGCGUAAAGCUCUAUCGGCAGGGAAGAAGAUGACGGUACCUGACCAAGAAGCCCCGGCUAACUACGUGCCAGCAGCCGCGGGAAUACGUAGGGGGCAAGCGUUAUCCGGAUUUACUGGGUGUAAAGGGGGCGCAGACGGCAAUGCAAGCCAGAGGUGAAAGCCCGGGGCCCAACCCCGGGACUGCACUUGGAACUGCAUGGCUGGAGUACAGGAGAGGCAGGCGGAAUUCCUAGUGUAGCGGUGAAAUGCGUAGAGAUUAGGAGGAACACCAGUGGCGAAGGCGGCCUGCUGGACUGUGACUGACGUUGAGGCCCGAAGGCGUGGGGAGCAAACAGGAUUAGAUACCCCAGUAGUC
rnacentral:rRNA from 1 species